rnacentral:RNase_P_RNA from 2 species
UCAGUGCGAAAGCUGCGAGGCUCGAUACGUGACAGGAGCGGCCGUCCUUAUCGUGGGACGGCACGAUCCGAUAUUCUCGAGCGGGAAGGUCUGAGCAUUUGUGUCCUCCUAGAUUGACUCUAGCAGGGUCCGGCGGCAAACCGCCGAGCGACGUACCAGAUAUGCAAUCCCGAACUCCUCGAACCAUGCCAAUGGUAUGCGAGGCCCCAAGAUCUCCGGUCGAACGGAAGGAGGGCAGGAGUUGCCCGGAUUUUGGGAAACGUCGCGAGGACUGAGCGACGGUGUACUGAUUUCCCAGCAUUGUGCCGUGUGGUCUCGCAAGGGACCAGCGCGCUCUGCUGGGCCCGUCGCUCUUUGGUGCACUUCGCAGCUUGGGGUUAUGCUCUACGUGAGCUACUCAAAACUCGAUUCAGACUAUUCUUGGCCUGC